CUUCGCAGUGCAGCUUGCAUGCCUGCAGGUCGACGAUUAGAGUUUGAUCAUGGCUCAGAUUGAACGCUGGCGGCAGGCCUAACACAUGCAAGUCGAGCGGUAGAGAGGUGCUUGCAUCUCUUGAGAGCGGCGGACGGGUGAGUAAUGCCUAGGAAUCUGCCUGGUAGUGGGGGAUAACGUUCGGAAACGGACGCUAAUACCGCAUACGUCCUACGGGAGAAAGCAGGGGACCUUCGGGCCUUGCGCUAUCAGAUGAGCCUAGGUCGGAUUAGCUAGUUGGUGGGGUAAUGGCUCACCAAGGCGACGAUCCGUAACUGGUCUGAGAGGAUGAUCAGUCACACUGGAACUGAGACACGGUCCAGACUCCUACGGGAGGCAGCAGUGGGGAAUAUUGGACAAUGGGCGAAAGCCUGAUCCAGCCAUGCCGCGUGUGUGAAGAAGGUCUUCGGAUUGUAAAGCACUUUAAGUUGGGAGGAAGGGUUGUAGAUUAAUACUCUGCAAUUUUGACGUUACCGACAGAAUAAGCACCGGCUAACUCUGUGCCAGCAGCCGCGGUAAUACAGAGGGUGCAAGCGUUAAUCGGAAUUACUGGGCGUAAAGCGCGCGUAGGUGGUUAGUUAAGUUGGAUGUGAAAUCCCCGGGCUCAACCUGGGAACUGCAUUCAAAACUGACUGACUAGAGUAUGGUAGAGGGUGGUGGAAUUUCCUGUGUAGCGGUGAAAUGCGUAGAUAUAGGAAGGAACACCAGUGGCGAAGGCGACCACCUGGACUGAUACUGACACUGAGGUGCGAAAGCGUGGGGAGCAAACAGGAUUAGAUACCCUGGUAGUCCACGCCGUAAACGAUGUCAACUAGCCGUUGGGAGCCUUGAGCUCUUAGUGGCGCAGCUAACGCAUUAAGUUGACCGCCUGGGGAGUACGGCCGCAAGGUUAAAACUCAAAUGAAUUGACGGAAUCUCUAGAGGAUCCCCGGGUACCGAGC
rnacentral:rRNA from 1 species